AUUGAACGCUGGCGGCAUGCCUUACACAUGCAAGUCGAACGGCAGCACGGGAGCAAUCCUGGUGGCGAGUGGCGAACGGGUGAGUAAAGUAUCGGAACGUGCCCAGUCGUGGGGGAUAACGUAGCGAAAGUUACGCUAAUACCGCAUACGAUCUAUGGAUGAAAGCGGGGGAUCGCAAGACCUCGCGCGAUUGGAGCGGCCGAUAUCAGAUUAGGUAGUUGGUGGGGUAAAGGCUCACCAAGCCGACGAUCUGUAGCUGGUCUGAGAGGACGACCAGCCACACUGGGACUAGGACACGGCCCAGACUCCUACGGGAGGCAGCAGUGGGAAUUUUGGACAAUGGGCGAAAGCCUGAUCCAGCCAUGCCGCGUGCAGGAUGAAGGCCUUCGGGUUGUAAACUGCUUUUGUACGGAACGAAAAGGUUUGGCCUAAUAAGCUGAGCUCAUGACGGUACCGUAAGAAUAAGCACCGGCUAACUACGUGCCAGCAGCCGCCGUAA
rnacentral:rRNA from 1 species